UAAUAGAUCACAACAAGAGAUUAUGAAGAGGCCAUGGCCGCCAUGUCAUUCUGGAGAGAGACAGAAUAAAACAAAGAAGACAGAGUCUUGCUCUGUAACCCAGGCUGGAGUGGAGGACAGUGGUGUGAUCUUGGCUCACUGCAACCUCUGCCUCCUGGGUUCAAGCGAUUCUCCUGCCUCAGCCUCCUGAGUAGCUGGGACUACAGCAGCCUCUCUACAAGUCUCCUAACUUAACCUUAUGGGAAAACGCUUCCUACCACUAAGGGCAUCUACUUGAUUACUGAUACUUUGAUCAUGCAGCUUUGGGCAUACCACUUGAUAGAAAUUUGAAGAGCAAUUAUAUUUUUCAAAAAGAGUUUUGAAUAAUGUUAAGAUAGAUUGCAUACAUGACUAUCAAUUCUUCCCUUCUCAUCAAAGGAGAGAGUCUGUUUAUCCAGCCUUUGAAUCUUGAUCAUUCACAUGACUUGCUUCACCCAAUGUAACAUUAAUAAGCGCAAUACAAGCAGAGGCUUGCCAAGAAUUUGGUUUGUUUCUAAUGCUUAGAAGAAGGAUGGUGUGUGCCAUAUUUCUGCAUUUAGAACUCACAUGGUGAUAUGUGU
rnacentral:lncRNA from 1 species